CCCUGAGGGUCGGGGCCAAGACCAGAGAGGACACCCGACCAUAAGACGUGGCCUAUGGCUGUUCAGAGGAUGGAGAGAAUGAGCAUCAGGCCAGGGCAGGAGCGUCUGUGUCUCACUUCCCCAUCUGUCUGUGUCACUGUGAGUCAUUGCCAGGUGCUCCCAAUGACAUGGUGAUCUUGGCGUCUGUCCCAGGGCCACUGACACUGACAGGAGCCGAGUCAGCUCAUUGGAGGCCACAGAACCUGCAAGAGAGAUUAUGAGAGGUGCAUGUGGAGUUGUUAAAGGUCCAUGGAGCUGCUAUAAGAGUCUACCCUUGGCCAUGAGCUCUUGGACAGGU